ACCCGCUGAACUUAAGCAUAUCAAUA
rnacentral:rRNA from 3 species